rnacentral:rRNA from 1 species
GAUGAACGCUAGCUACAGGCUUAACACAUGCAAGUCGAGGGGGCAGCAUGAACUUAGCUUGCUAAGUUUGAUGGCGACCGGCGCACGGGUGAGUAACACGUAUCCAACCUUCCGUUUACUCAGGGAUAGCCUUUCGAAAGAAAGAUUAAUACCUGAUAGUAUGGUGAGAUUGCAUGAUAGCACCAUUAAAGAUUUAUUGGUAAACGAUGGGGAUGCGUUCCAUUAGGUAGUAGGCGGGGUAACGGCCCACCUAGCCGACGAUGGAUAGGGGUUCUGAGAGGAAGGUCCCCCACAUUGGAACUGAGACACGGUCCAAACUCCUACGGGAGGCAGCAGUGAGGAAUAUUGGUCAAUGGACGAGAGUCUGAACCAGCCAAGUAGCGUGAAGGAUGAAGGUCCUACGGAUUGUAAACUUCUUUUAUAAGGGAAUAAACCCUCCCACGUGUGGGAGCUUGUAUGUACCUUAUGAAUAAGC